UACGUAUGGUGCAAGCGUUAUCCGGAUUUACUGGGCGUAAAGGGAGCGCAGGCGGCGCGCCAAGUCUGAUGUGAAACCCCGGGGCUCAACCCCGGGCAUGCAUUGGAAACUGGCGGGCUGGAGUGCCGGAGAGGUAAGCGGAAUUCCUAGUGUAGCGGUGAAAUGCGUAGAUAUUAGGAGGAACACCAGUGGCGAAGGCGGCUUACUGGACGGCAACCGACGCUGAGGCUCGAAAGCGUGGGGAGCAAACAGG
rnacentral:rRNA from 1 species